GACGAACGCUGGCGGCGUGCUUAACACAUGCAAGUCGAACGGAAAGGCCCUGCUUUUGUGGGGUGCUCGAGUGGCGAACGGGUGAGUAACACGUGAGUAACCUGCCCUUGACUUUGGGAUAACUUCAGGAAACUGGGGCUAAUACCGGAUAGGAGCUCCUGCUGCAUGGUGGGGUUUGGAAAGUUUCGGCGGUUGGGGAUGGACUCGCGGCUUAUCAGCUUGUUGGUGGGGUAGUGGCUUACCAAGGCUUUGACGGGUAGCCGGCCUGAGAGGGUGACCGGCCACAUUGGGACUGAGAUACGGCCCAGACUCCUACGGGAGGCAGCAGUGGGGAAUAUUGCACAAUGGGCGGAAGCCUGAUGCAGCAACGCCGCGUGCGGGAUGACGGCCUUCGGGUUGUAAACCGCUUUCGCCUGUGACGAAGCGUGAGUGACGGUAAUGGGUAAAGAAGCACCGGCUAACUACGUGCCAGCAGCCGCGGUGAUACGUAGGGUGCGAGCGUUGUCCGGAUUUAUUGGGCGUAAAGGGCUCGUAGGUGGUUGAUCGCGUCGGAAGUGUAAUCUUGGGGCUUAACCCUGAGCGUGCUUUCGAUACGGGUUGACUUGAGGAAGGUAGGGGAGAAUGGAAUUCCUGGUGGAGCGGUGGAAUGCGCAGAUAUCAGGAGGAACACCAGUGGCGAAGGCGGUUCUCUGGGCCUUUCCUGACGCUGAGGAGCGAAAGCGUGGGGAGCGAACAGGCUUAGAUACCCUGGUAGUCCACGCUGUAAACGGUGGGUACUAGGUGUGGGGUCCAUUCCACGGGUUCCGUGCCGUAGCUAACGCUUUAAGUACCCCGCCUGGGGAGUACGGCCGCAAGGCUAAAACUCAAAGGAAUUGACGGGGCCCCGCACAAGCGGCGGAGCAUGCGGAUUAAUUCGAUGCAACGCGUAGAACCUUACCUGGGUUUGACAUGGAUCGGGAGCGCUCAGAGAUGGGUGUGCCUCUUUUGGGGUCGGUUCACAGGUGGUGCAUGGCUGUCGUCAGCUCGUGUCGUGAGAUGUUGGGUUAAGUCCCGCAACGAGCGCAACCCUUGUUCACUGUUGCCAGCACGUUAUGGUGGGGACUCAGUGGAGACCGCCGGGGUCAACUCGGAGGAAGGUGGGGAUGACGUCAAGUCAUCAUGCCCCUUAUGUCCAGGGCUUCACGCAUGCUACAAUGGCUGGUACAGAGAGUGGCGAGCCUGUGAGGGUGAGCGAAUCUCGGAAAGCCGGUCUCAGUUCGGAUUGGGGUCUGCAACUCGACCUCAUGAAGUCGGAGUCGCUAGUAAUCGCAGAUCAGCAACGCUGCGGUGAAUACGUUCCCGGG
rnacentral:rRNA from 1 species